UGCCUAAUACAUGCAAGUCGAGCGAACGGACGAGAAGCUUGCUUCUCUGAUGUUAGCGGCGGACGGGUGAGUAACACGUGGAUAACCUACCUAUAAGACUGGGAUAACUUCGGGAAACCGGAGCUAAUACCGGAUAAUAUUUUGAACCGCAUGGUUCAAAAGUGAAAGACGGUCUUGCUGUCACUUAUAGAUGGAUCCGCGCUGCAUUAGCUAGUUGGUAAGGUAACGGCUUACCAAGGCAACGAUGCAUAGCCGACCUGAGAGGGUGAUCGGCCACACUGGAACUGAGACACGGUCCAGACUCCUACGGGAGGCAGCAGUAGGGAAUCUUCCGCAAUGGGCGAAAGCCUGACGGAGCAACGCCGCGUGAGUGAUGAAGGUCUUCGGAUCGUAAAACUCUGUUAUUAGGGAAGAACAUAUGUGUAAGUAACUGUGCACAUCUUGACGGUACCUAAUCAGAAAGCCACGGCUAACUACGUGCCAGCAGCCGCGGUAAUACGUAGGUGGCAAGCGUUAUCCGGAAUUAUUGGGCGUAAAGCGCGCGUAGGCGGUUUUUUAAGUCUGAUGUGAAAGCCCACGGCUCAACCGUGGAGGGUCAUUGGAAACUGGAAAACUUGAGUGCAGAAGAGGAAAGUGGAAUUCCAUGUGUAGCGGUGAAAUGCGCAGAGAUAUGGAGGAACACCAGUGGCGAAGGCGACUUUCUGGUCUGUAACUGA
rnacentral:rRNA from 1 species